rnacentral:piRNA from 1 species
UGUGGAUGCUGUUCAAAGUUUGGGUUAACU